UCUGCUUUGAGAUGGGCCCGCGUCCCAUUAGCUAGUUGGUAAGGUAAUGGCUUACCAAGGCAACGAUGGGUAGCCGACCUGAGAGGGUGAUCGGCCACAUUGGAACUGAGACACGGUCCAGACUCCUACGGGAGGCAGCAGUAGGGAAUCUUCGGCAAUGGACGAAAGCCUGAUGCAGCAACGCCGCGUGGGUGAUGAAGGUUUUCGGAUCGUAAAACCCUGUUUUCUGGGACGAUAAUGACGGUACCAGAUGAGGAAGCCACGGCUAACUAC
rnacentral:rRNA from 1 species